GGGGAUGGCGCUACCUGCAGUCGAGCGGAUGACGGGAGCUUGCUCCUUGAUUCAGCGGCGGACGGGUGAGUAAUGCCUAGGAAUCUGCCUGGUAGUGGGGGACAACGUUUCGAAAGGAACGCUAAUACGCAUACGUCCUACGGGAGAAAGCAGGGGACCUUCGGGCCUUGCGCUAUCAGAUGAGCCUAGGUCGGAUUAGCUAGUUGGUGAGGUAAUGGCUCACCAAGGCGACGAUCCGUAACUGGUCUGAGAGGUGAUCAGUCACACUGGAACUGAGACACGGUCCAGACUCCUACGGGAGGCAGCAGUGGGGAAUAUUGGACAAUGGGCGAAAGCCUGAUCCAGCCAUGCCGCGUGUGUGAAGAAGGUCUUCGGAUUGAAAGCACUUUAAGUUGGGAGGAAGGGCAGUAAGUUAAUACCUUGCUGUUUUGACGUUACCGACAGAAUAAGCACCGGCUAACUCUGUGCCAGCAGCCGCGGUAAUACAGAGGGUGCAAGCGUUAAUCGGAUUACUGGGCGUAAAGCGCGCGUAGGUGGUUCGUUAAGUUGGAUGUGAAAGCCCCGGGCUCAACCUGGGAACUGCAUCCAAAACUGGCGGGCUAGAGUACGGUAGAGGGUGGUGGAAUUUCCUGUGUGCGGUGAAAUGCGUAGAUAUAGGAAGGAACACCAGUGGCGAAGGCGACCACCUGGACUGAUACUGACACUGAGGUGCGAAAGCGUGGGGAGCAAACAGGAUUAGAUACCCUGGUAGUCCACGCCGUAACGAUGUCAACUAGCCGUUGGAAUCCUUGAGAUUUUAGUGGCGCAGCUAACGCAUUAAGUUGACCGCCUGGGGAGUACGGCCGCAAGGUUAAAACUCAAAUGAAUUGACGGGGGCCCGCACAAGCGGGGAGCAUGUGGUUUAAUUCGAAGCAACGCGAAGAACCUUACCAGGCCUUGACAUGCAGAGAACUUUCCAGAGAUGGAUUGGUGCCUUCGGGAACUCUGACACAGGUGCUGCAUGGCUGUCGUCAGCUGUGUCGUGAGAUGUUGGGUUAAGUCCCGUAACGAGCGCAACCCUUGUCCUUAGUUACCAGCACGUUAUGGUGGGCACUCUAAGGAGACUGCCGGUGACAAACCGGAGGAAGGUGGGGAUGACGUCAAUCAUCAUGGCCCUUACGGCCUGGGCUACACACGUGCUACAAUGGUCGGUACAGAGGGUUGCCAAGCCGCGAGGUGGAGCUAAUCUCACAAAACCGAUCGUAGUCCGGAUCGCAGUCUGCAACUCGACGCGUGAAGUCGGAAUCGCUAGUAAUCGCGAAUCAGAAUGUCGCGGUGAAUACGUUCCCGGGCCUUGUACACACCGCCCGUCACACCAUGGGAGUGGGUUGCACCAGAAGUAGCUAGUCUAACCUUCGGAGGACGGUGUGAUUCAUGUACGCGGU
rnacentral:rRNA from 1 species